rnacentral:rRNA from 1 species
UGGGGAAUAUUGGACAAUGGGCGAAAGCCUGAUCCAGCCAUGCCGCGUGUGUGAAGAAGGCCUUAUGGUUGUAAAGCACUUUAAGUGGGGAGGAAAAGCUUAUGGUUAAUACCCAUAAGCCCUGACGUUACCCACAGAAUAAGCACCGGCUAACUCUGUGCCAGCAGCCGCGGUAAUACAGAGGGUGCAAGCGUUAAUCGGAAUUACUGGGCGUAAAGCGCGCGUAGGUGGUUAUUUAAGUCAGAUGUGAAAGCCCCGGGCUUAACCUGGGAACUGCAUCUGAUACUGGAUAACUAGAGUAGGUGAGAGGGGAGUAGAAUUCCAGGUGUAGCGGUGAAAUGCGUAGAGAUCUGGAGGAAUACCGAUGGCGAAGGCAGCUCCCUGGCAUCAUACUGACACUGAGGUGCGAAAGCGUGGGUAGCAAACAGGAUUAGAUACCCUGGUAGUCCACGCCGUAAACGAUGUCUACCAGUCGUUGGGUCUUUUAAAGACUUAGUGACGCAGUUAACGCAAUAAGUAGACCGCCUGGGGAGUACGGCCGCAAGGUU